AGAACGAACGCUGGCGGCAUGCCUAAUACAUGCAAGUCGAACGAACACUUCGGUGUUAGUGGCGCACGGGUGCGUAACGCGUGGGAAUCUGCCCUUGGGUUCGGAAUAACAGUUGGAAACGACUGCUAAUACCGGAUGAUGACGUUAAGUCCAAAGAUUUAUCGCCCAGGGAUGAGCCCGCGUAGGAUUAGCUAGUUGGUGAGGUAAAGGCUCACCAAGGCGACGAUCCUUAGCUGGUCUGAGAGGAUGAUCAGCCACACUGGGACUGAGACACGGCCCAGACUCCUACGGGAGGCAGCAGUGGGGAAUAUUGGACAAGUGGCGAAAGCCUAGGAUCCAGCAAUGCCGCGUGAGUGAUGAAGGUCCUUAGGGUUGUAAACGUCUUACGUUUUACCCGGGAUGAAUAAUGACAGGUACGGAGAAUAAGCUCCGGACUAAC
rnacentral:rRNA from 1 species